UGAAUCCAUAGGUUAAUGAGGCGAACCGGGGGAACUGAAACAUCUAAGUACCCCGAGGAAAAGAAAUCAACCGAGAUUCCCCCAGUAGCGGCGAGCGAACGGGGAGCAGCCCAGAGCCUGAAUCAGUAUGUGUGUUAGUGGAAGCGUCUGGAAAGGCGUGCGAUACAGGGUGACAGCCCCGUACACAAAAAUGCACAUGCUGUGAGCUCGAUGAGUAGGGCGGGACACGUGGUA
rnacentral:rRNA from 1 species